GGGGAUUUAGCUCAGCGGUAGAGCGCUUGCCUAGGGAGCACAAGGUCCUGGGUUCGGUCCCCAGCUCCCA
rnacentral:tRNA from 1 species